ACAGCAGCCGCCACGGGAAUACGAAGGGGGCUAGCGUUGCUCGGAAUUACUGGGCGUAAAGGGAGCGUAGGCGGGUCGUUUAGUCAGAGGUGAAAUCCCGGGGCUCAACCUCGGAACUGCCUUUGAUACUGGCGACCUUGAGUAUGGGAGAGGUGAGUGGAACCCCGAGUGUAGAGGUGAAAUUCGUAGAUAUUCGGAAGAACACCAGUGGCGAAAGCGACUCACUGGCCCAUUACUGACGCUGAGGCUCGAAAGCGUGGGGAGCAAACAGGAUUAGAUACCCCGGUAGUCCCUGUCUCUUAUAC
rnacentral:rRNA from 1 species